rnacentral:rRNA from 1 species
GCUCAUUACAACAGCCAUAGUUUAUUGGAUCUUUACGUUCCUACAAGGAUAUCUGCGGUAAUUCUGGAGCUAAUACUUGCGAAAAACGGCGACCUUACGGAAGUCGUGCAUUUGUUAGACUAAACCAAUCGGUCCUUCGGGACCGUCAUUUGGUGAACUCUGAAUAACUCAGCUGAUCGCACAGUCUCGUACUGGCGACAAAUCCUUCAAGUGUCUGCCUUAUCAACUGUCGAUGGUAGUUUACACGACUACCAUGGUUGUAACGGGUAACGGAGAAUAAGGGUUCGACUCCGGAGAGGGAGCCUGAGAAACGGCUACCACAUCCAAGGAAGGCAGCAGGCGCGCAAAUUACCCACUCUCAGAACGAGGAGGUAGUGACGAAAAAUAACGAGGUGGCCCUCUUUGAGGUCCAUCAUCGGAAUGGGUACAAUUUAAAUCCUUUAACGAGGAUCUAUUGGAGGGCAAGUCUGGUGCCAGCAGCCGCGGUAAUUCCAGCUCCAAUAGCGUAUACUAAAGUUGUUGCGGUUAAAAAGCUCGUAGUUGGAUCUGCGCCAGGUGGAAGCGGUCGCCCGAUGGGUUGUUACUGCUUACCUCUGGCUAACCAUUCGGUUUUCCCUUGAUGCUCUUAAGUGAGUGUCCUGGGUGACCGGAACGUUUACUUUGAAAAAAUUAGAGUGCUCAAAGCAGGCAUUUCGCCCGAAUAUUCGUGCAUGGAAUAAUAAAAGAGGUCCUUGUAGCCUUUUAUUGGUUAUCGCUACGAGGAAAUGAUCGAAGGGGACAGACGGGGGCAUUUGUAUUGCGACGUUAGAGGUGAAAUUCUU